rnacentral:lncRNA from 1 species
UUGCCUUGCUUGGCUCCAUUUGAAUAACCACGGUACAUGUGCAUCAAUAUCCAUUCCUUCUGUCCGAACAUAAGAGCGUUUUCGAAUUUUAUGGAAAAAAGUAAAAUAAUGGCCAUUGGAAUUGCUAUAUCUCUUACAAAAAUCAGAUUUCAAGUUUGUGCCGAGCAGUUUUUGCCUUUAUUUACAACUUAACUUUCAAUUGCUACUGAACAGAUGCAAGUAGCUAUUCUUCGGAGCUGCUGGGCAGCCAUUCAUAUGGAGGAAAUUGUUUCUAUUAGUACCUUUUAUUUUCUUCUGCUUGGAGAGUUCGUAUAGGUAUUAUUCGCUACUAUAUAUAAUGAUUUGUCGUAUGUUUACGUACCUACUUGCAUUUCAAAGACGGUGCGGAGUUCAAGUAGAUGUUGACGAAGAACAUGAUGGAAGGGGGGUCAAAUACGAAAUACACGAUCAGAAAAUCGACAAUCUAACCCGGUGCAACGCACGGACACUUUUACUAGGAUCACAAAUUGACGGUGACAGUAUCGAAAACCUACGUACAAUUGAUUUACUUCAAAUUGAUACCAGCAAUAUAUAAGCUUCACUUUCUAGCAUUGAGAGCUUAAUUAUCCCCAGUGCAACCAGUCCAUCUGAGCAUGAAUGGUAUCAUGCGUGUGCCUAGAAUUAGUGCUUUAUUUUGUUAGAAUCUGUGUUCAUACAUCAGACAGUUGUAUUGUAAUUUAGAAAGAUCUGAACUAGGCCAUUAAUUUUCCUUAGUUAUUUCCACACUAACAUAGUUUAGAACUUAUUGAUGUUUCCAUGGUUUUGUUGAUCCGGAGUUGACUUGAGAUAUACAUAUUGAAGAACAAUAGAGAUUUUAAGCCAUUAGGCCAGGUUCUGAAUUGCCAUGGCAUCGUCAGCACAUGCCAGUGUGUCGACGACGUUGAUAGUCAGGAUUUGGAGGUAACUCUGCUCGGUACCAUCUGAAAUCCUAAUAACAGUGAGAAUUAAUUACUCUCAUUAUCCCUUGUCCCCUUCAUGAAAAAUGCACGAGGAGAACACCAAUGUGCGGGGUAACCAUGUUUGUUUCAAGACCAAUAAGACCUGAUCUUUUGAGCUGCCGGAUGUCAUGUGGUUGAGUUCAGGUAUUAUUACUUCCUGAAUUUAGAGUGUAAUUGAUGUGUUUAUGUUGGAUACUGAUAUGGUUCUCUUUCUGGAUUUCGGAUCAAUUCAGGAGUCGUUUUGUACAGCAGAAACUUGAAACAUCUUCUACUAAAGAGAAG